GCCCCUAUGGCGUAGUGGUAGCGCGUGUCACUUGUACCCAACUCCAGUGCAAGAGUAUGACAAGGUCUCUCGUUCGAUCCGGGAUGGGGGCA